rnacentral:tRNA from 1 species
GACUCUGUAGUGAAGUUCAUGUUGAGUUGCAAGCUCAUUGAUAUGUGUUAAAGACACAUCAGGGUCU